AUUGAACGCUGGCGGCAGGCCUAACACAUGCAAGUCGAGCGGAUGAAGAGAGCUUGCUCUCUGAUUCAGCGGCGGACGGGUGAGUAAUGCCUAGGAAUCUGCCUGGUAGUGGGGGACAACGUUUCGAAAGGAACGCUAAUACCGCAUACGUCCUACGGGAGAAAGCAGGGGACCUUCGGGCCUUGCGCUAUCAGAUGAGCCUAGGUCGGAUUAGCUAGUUGGUGAGGUAAUGGCUCACCAAGGCGACGAUCCGUAACUGGUCUGAGAGGAUGAUCAGUCACACUGGAACUGAGACACGGUCCAGACUCCUACGGGAGGCAGCAGUGGGGAAUAUUGGACAAUGGGCGAAAGCCUGAUCCAGCCAUGCCGCGUGUGUGAAGAAGGUCUUCGGAUUGUAAAGCACUUUAAGUUUGGGAGGAAGGGUUGUAGAUUAAUACUCUGCAAUUUUGACGUUACCGACAGAAUAAGCACCGGCUAACU
rnacentral:rRNA from 1 species